UUCGAUAGUCGCGUUACAGCCCUAGAUUCUUGUUGUAUUCUAAAUGACGGAAGUGAGGAACGUGCGUGCGCUCUUCGAUCAGUAACUGCAAUGCUUGUUUCAAAGGGGUCCCCGUUUUGGGAUCGUUGUCUACUGCAAGUAGUGCGAACGGCACGAAUCGACUUUCCAGUGAACUGGAUACGAGUAAUGGGUUUCUGAGGCCAUACUCUUACGAUGUGACGAUUGCUCGUGCGUUGAAAGCAUUUUGGUCUAAGGUGUUUGCACAGUCUACAGCAGGAAAUGGUAUUAUUCAUGUUCAGAUUUUCUUAAUUAAUUUGCUUAUUUUCUUAUCAUCUGAUCACUAUGAAUGGUUUCUAUUGGUUGGUGGAAAUUAUGAGCUGUUAAGAAUUUGGUGUUCAAGUUUUUGUAAGAGAGGAUGUUGGAGUUGUGACUGGCUCAAGCACUCGUUUUGUAUCGAACAACGCUCGUCUCGAGGGUUAUGCUAACAUAUCUCAUCAGCUGAUCUAGAUCUAUUAUACCUAUAAAUCCAUCAAAUGCACGGCUACAGAGGAAGCAAAGACAAGAUUUGAUUUAGGAUGGGUUACUGUCAUGGAAAGUAGAAGGUUGAUUUGGAUAGUCAGGUUACAUUUGCAACCUUUGAGUGGGAAGUCUAUAGGUAAUGGGAGUAAUUGCGGCUCUCACAGAGGUAUUUUUGCAACACCACACUUAGGAGAAAUAUGGAUUAAUAAAGAUCAAUUAUGGCAGUAUUGGCUGCAGAAAAUAACUGCAAACUACCAAAAAGGACAACUGCAACUACUGUGAAUGGUUCUAUAGCAGACAAUCAAGACUACCAAAUCAGACUGGCUUUCUAUUCAAGCACUGCAUGUUUUUGAUUCUGCUUGUAGAUUAUUUUUACUGCUUGAGAUGGUUUAUUUUGUGUGAUAUGGAUAUGUUUAGUCUAUACUCUUCAAUUUUACAAGCGUUUGUUGAAUGUGUCAGCAGCAACUUGUUAUCAACGAUAUUCAUGAAUGUUGUAAGAAAUAUACUGUACAUAUACUUUACAAUUCCUACAA